rnacentral:rRNA from 1 species
UUCCGGUUGAUCCUGCCGGAGGCUACCGCUAUUGGAGUUCGAUUAAGCCAUGCGAGUCGCGAGUCUUAGGGACUCGGCGUACCGCUCAGUAACACGUGGGUAACCUGCCCUAUGCUGGGGGAUAACCUCGGGAAACUGAGAAUAAUACCCCAUAGUUCACCACGCCUGGAACGGUGGGUGGACCAAAGCUCCGGCGGCAUAGGAUGGGCCUGCGGCGUAUCAGGUUGUAGGGGGUGUAAUGUACCCUCUAGCCAUCUACGCGUACGGGUGUUGGGAGACAUCGCCCGGAGAUGGAUUCUGAGACACGAAUCCAGACCCUACGGGGUGCAGCAGGCGCGAAAACUUGGCAAUGCGAGCAAUCGUGACCAGGGAACUCCAAGUGCAUCGGGUAAGACCGAUGCUUUUCUUGACUCUUCAAAGGUCUUGGAAUAAGGGGUGGGUAAGGACGGUGCCAGCCGCCGCGGUAAUACCGGCGCCUCAAGUGGUAGUCGCUUUUAUUGGGCCUAAAACGUCCGUAGCCGGUUUGGUACAUUCGUGGGUAAAUCAAGGCGCUCAACGUCUUGAAUUCUGCGAGCACGGCCAGACUUGGGACCGGGUGAGGUGUGGGGUACUCUCAGGGUAGGGGUAAAAUCCUGUCAUCCUGAGAGGACCACCUGUUGCGAAGGCGCCACACUAGAACGGAUCCGACGGUCAGGGACGAAGCCUAGGGGCACGAACCGGAUUAGAUACCCGGGUAGUCCUAGGUGUAAACGCUGUGGACUUGAUGUUGGGAGUGCUCCGAGCACCCUCAGUGUCGAAGCGAAGGUGAUAAGUCCACUGCCUGGGGAGUACGGUCGCAAGGCUGAAACUUAAAGGAAUUGGCGGGGGAGCACCACAAGGGGUGAAGCCUGCGGUUCAAUUGGAGUCAACGCCGG